rnacentral:tRNA from 1 species
GGCAGAGUGGUUAAGGCAUUGGCCUUAAGAUCCAAUGGAUUUAUAUCAUGGUGGGUUUGAACCCCACUUCUGCUA